CUGUGCUGUUGUGGGACACCUCAUGGGAACUGACCAAGUGAGGGACAGCUGGAAGCUCGGCUGGAGGAGAAGGUUGGGAUUUUUCAAAGAUUUGGAUGCUGCAGUUAAAUGUCGCAAUUCAAGGCUGCUGCUGAUCUCAAACUGGGAGGGGCUGUUGACUCUCUUGAGGGACAAGUGUUGCGGUGUAGAGGCCAUGUGUCCCCGGCCCAGCAACAGAGAGAACAGGGGUGUGACAGAUCCCCCGGCAGACGCCGCAGAAUUCCAGCUGACAGCAGAGGUUCGGCGCAGAUGAAAAAAGAGGCAGCAGCACGAGUCCUGGAGUUGGAACAGGCAUAGCUUUAUUUGAUGCUACCUUCUGGGUGAGCACUCUGGCUGGUUAUGGAGUACAUGGACGGAGGCACCCUGAGCGAUGUCAUCAGCAAGAGCUACCUGUCUGAAGAGGAGAUGGCAGCCAUCAGUCGGGAGUGCCUGCAAGGACUGGAUUUUCUUCACUCCAACCAUGUGAUCCACGGAGAUGUGAAGAGCAGCAACAUCCUUCUCAGAAC